rnacentral:rRNA from 1 species
UGGGGAAUUUUGGACAAUGGACGCAAGUCUGAUCCAGCCAUGCCGCGUGCGGGAAGAAGGCCUUCGGGUUGUAAACCGCUUUUGUCAGGGAAGAAACGAGUUUCUCUAAUACAGAGACUUAAUGACGGUACCUGAAGAAUAAGCACCGGCUAACUACGUGCCAGCAGCCGCGGUAAUACGUAGGGUGCAAGCGUUAAUCGGAAUUACUGGGCGUAAAGCGUGCGCAGGCGGUUAUAUAAGACAGAUGUGAAAUCCCCGGGCUCAACCUGGGAACUGCAUUUGUUACUGUAUAGCUAGAGUACGGCAGAGGGGGAUGGAAUUCCGCGUGUAGCAGUGAAAUGCGUAGAUAUGCGGAGGAACACCGAUGGCGAAGGCAAUCCCCUGGGCCUGUACUGACGCUCAUGCACGUAAGCGUGGGGAGCAAACA